GCCUGAGUGGCUCAGUGGUUGAGCAUCUGCCUUCAACUCAGGGCGUGAUCCCGGAGUCCUGGGAUCAAGUCCCACAUCAGGCU
rfam:Canis lupus familiaris chromosome 6, whole genome shotgun sequence.